rnacentral:rRNA from 1 species
GACGGAGGGUGCUAGCGUUGUUCGGAAUCACUGGGCGUAAAGGGCGCGUAGGCGGCCUCAGGUGUCGGAUGUGAAAGCCCGGGGCUCAACCCCGGAGGUGCAUCCGAAACUCUGGGGCUGGAGGUCGGAAGAGGAGGGUGGAAUACCCAGUGUAGAGGUGAAAUUCGUAGAUAUUGGGUGGAACACCGGUGGCGAAAGCGGCUCUCUGGUCCGGACCUGACGCUGAGGAGCGAAAGCAUGGGGAGCGAACAGG